rnacentral:rRNA from 1 species
GAUGAACGCUGGCGGCGUGCUUAACACAUGCAAGUCGAGCGAAGCACAGAAACGGAUUUCUUCGGAUUGAAGGUUCUGUGACUGAGCGGCGGACGGGUGAGUAACGCGUGGGGAACCUGCCCUGUACCGGGGGAUAACAGACAGAAAUGUCUGCUAAUACCGCAUAAGCGCACGAGAAGGCAUCUUUUUGUGUGAAAAACUCCGGUGGUACAGGAUGGACCCGCGUUGGAUUAGCCAGUUGGCGGGGUAACGGCCCACCAAAGCGACGAUCCAUAGCCGGCCUGAGAGGGCGACCGGCCACAUUGGGACUGAGACACGGCCCAG